AGCGAACGCUGGCGGCAGGCCUAACACAUGCAAGUCGAACGAACCUUUCGGGGUUAGUGGCGGACGGGUGAGUAACACGUGGGAACGUGCCUUUAGGUUCGGAAUAACUCAGGGAAACUUGUGCUAAUACCGAAUGUGCCCUUCGGGGGAAAGAUUUAUCCCCUUUAGAGCGGCCCGCGUCUGAUUAGCUAGUUGGUUGAGGUAAUGGCUCACCAAGGCGACGAUCAGUAGCUGGUCUGAGAGGAUGAUCAGCCACAUUGGGACUGAGACACGGCCCAAACUCCUACGGGAGGCAGCAGUGGGGAAUCUUGCGCAAUGGGCGAAAGCCUGACGCAGCCAUGCCGCGUGAAUGAUGAAGGUCUUAGGAUUGUAAAAUUCUUUCACCGGGGACGAUAAUGACGGUACCCGGAGAAGAAGCCCCGGCUAACUUCGUG
rnacentral:rRNA from 1 species